AGGAAGUGCUGGGCGCACUAAGACUUCUAAUCUUUAUUGCAGGAGGUUCAAUUCCUUUUACUUCCUU
rnacentral:tRNA from 2 species